AAGAAAGUGGCAGAAUGGUCAUGUGGUCGACUUGAAAUCGAUAUACGGGGGUUCGAUCCCCUCCUUUCUCG
rnacentral:tRNA from 1 species